GUAGCUGCAACUCAGCUAACUCUGCUAACUUUGCAAGCUACAAUCUCUUUCUGGGUUUUUCUGCUCUAAAAGAUUUUCAGAACAAAGUUAAACUGCUAAUAAUUGCCUCAAGAAGACUUUGUAGAUGAAAUACAAACAUUUGUGUCACAACUUGUUGCCAUGUUUGUCCCACUAGCUUAGCUUCAGCCUGGAAGUUCUGUAAGCAUAAACUGCUGACUCACUGCUUCACAUCAACAAGCUCAGCACCUCCCGCAGGUGUCGCCCUCUGUCGCUGUGAGACUGCAGCUCGGCACACAACAGGUCACCCAGAGUGACUCGACGCAGGCCGAACCUCUCCUCCAUCCGCUCGCACUGCAGAGAUUUACCUGAUCCCGGACCACCUGAGAACACACACACCACACAAAGAGGGACGGGAUGAUAUCAGAGAGGAACAGAUUGCAGAACCCUCCUCUCUCCUCGAUCAUCGUCUCUUCCAGGUGCAUGCAAGAAACUGGAAGAUCCUAAAUCACGGGGAAAUGAUUUCCAGAGAAAAACACCUACUCCAAGACUCUGCUACAGAAAACAUAUGAAGACAACUUGGAUACAUGGAAAGAUGUCACACUGCUCUUAAAAACAUCUGUAAAUGCAGCUGCAUGAAGGCUGUAUGGAGGGGAAGCUUUCUGCUUGCUGAGCCUUACAUAAGACUCAUCCAUACAUGAGUAUGUCCAGAAUGGUUCGUCUGUGAUUUCAGAUUAGUUGGUAGAAACACCUGAACAGUAAGAGGACUAACUCUCUUUCUGUUGCCUAAACGUUUCUAUAUCAUUCUCUAUCUUUGUGUUUUUGCAGCUUUUGUGCAACUUAAGGAGUUUAAACCUGUGUGUGAUUGGUAUUUUAGUGUCCUAUUACAAAUCAGGCCGCUCUCGAGUGUGACAAGAAGAGUUGCAGGAGUGUGUCAGGCAGCUGUCAGGUAACGAACACCAAUUUUUAUGUCAAGGAUCACAGAGAAUGUAAGCCUCAGCUGUGUUAUGUGCUCAACCUCUAUCAUCUUAAGUCCAUGUUCUGCAGAGAAGCUGACAACUGCUUUCUAUGAAUGAUUUGAGGGUUAAAAUGUCAUGUUAUAAUGAUGCCGCAUUCAAACUGUGCCCUCUUUUUGGCUGUGCAUGAACUGUAACACCACAGAGCGGAUCAUUUUUUCAGAUAACUCUGCAGCUAAACAUAUUUCCUCCUCCGUGAUGUCUCUGAGGUGCCAUAUGUCCUCUCAUGACAAUUCUGCAGCUCCCAACACGAGGCCUGUUUUUCCUGAGAAAAUGUUGAGGCAAACAUGUUCCACAGUGUUCUCUUAUUAAACUAA